rnacentral:lncRNA from 1 species
UUUCAAAGUAAUAAAAAAAAGAACAAAAUCUGGUUUAGGCGGUCGCCCAUAUUCUAUGCAAAUUAUCGCACCCCAUACAGCUUACGGCGCUUUUUAAACGCAGCAUGUUUUCUUUAACACCGAUUUUACGGCCCAUUAAAAUGGGGCACAACAAUGGAUCGUCGCAGAGUCUUCUUAACUUUUCGCGUACGUAUUUACCGCCAGAACUUUCGUUUUACGAUCUAAAAUUUUAUGGUAAACGGUACUAUGGUAAUGCACCAAACUAUAACAAUGUUGGUACUUUUUUUUUCCUUUUUACAAUUGAAAUACCGUUAUGGAUAUCAAGUUAUGUGAUGGGGUUAAAUGAGGGAUUGAUUUAUUACGGAUAUAGGAUGAUUUUAAUGUAGGGUAGCUCAUCAGAUUAAUUGUCCGUUUAAAUUUACCCAUAGAAAUCAAAUAGCAAUAAUUAAAUCUGAUUUCAGGUUUAAAGGCAGAAGAUGAACCUAAUUCCAAAAAGAAAUAUGGUGACAAAAGAAUUGAAAAAGUAUUUGCAAUAAUAUCUAAAUAAUCUCUUGCAGAAAAGCCAUUCAUAAGAUAAUAGCAAGAGAAAGCAAAUCAGUUGAAAAAUCUCAAGAUAAAGAUAUGAAAAGUUUUGGGGAGUGCAAACUGAAAUUGCAAUUGUGGCACAAGUUGAAACGCAAGAUGUUCCUAAUCAACAUGAUGAAGUUGCUGAUGUUGGGCUAGAAAGAGAAGGAACUUUUGAGACAGUUCCAGAAAUAAAAGGAUAAAAGUAUAGAGAACACAGGAUAGAAGAAGGUGUAAGAAGAAUUAUGGUUAAGGUGGAAGAGGAAGUUAAUAUGGUUAAUAAUUUGCUUAUGAACAUGGUCAUGUCUUUUGGCUUCAUGGUCCUAACACUAACUCAUGAUACUAACAACUCUACAUGAAGCGAGAUCUAAGAUAACUCCAUUUUGCUCGCAACUACUCAAAAUUAACUCCUCACCCAUAUCCUCACAAUGAUGGUACUCAUAAAUGAUGUAUCUGGGGAUAGCGACGAUGUACAUCUUGGUACUUUAAUUUAAAGUUCCUCACGUAAUGGAAAGACUUAUCUUUCCAGAUCUCUUAAGAACUGGAAUUUACAUGCCAAUUAUGUGUGACUCUUAGGUUGCGCUUUAUCAUUAAUGGUAAAGAUAUGGAGAUUAAGAUAUCAUCAGUUUACCUCCUGCAGAAAAGUUCAGCUGUAUUCCAAGUGGUGGCGAGGUUGACUGAGAAUGCCAGCAUAGUACCCACAAAUACUUACUUUAUGAAGAAUUUCCAUAGCAAAUUCUGUCGUUUAGAAACUGUUCUGGUAUCAAAUCUCUGAUCAUCUCUACAAUUUCCACAAAACUCUAUCUGUUAAUAAAUGAACGUUUCUCAGGUUAGGUAUUCUCUGUGGAUAUCCAAUGGGAUGCCAAGCUACCACCAACUCAGAAAAUACGAUGAGAUGUUUACAUCUUGUCAACAUUCAAAACCCCUGAAGAAGUCCGUCUGGAGGAAAUCUACCCAGAUUGUCUAUUGCGUUAUAUUAUUUAAGUUUGUGCCAAUUGUGAAAUCUAAUUGAUUAGGAGCUACUCCCCAUACUGCUCAGUUUGCGAUGAUGUUUGAUGCUUUUUACUAAAAAUAUUGUAUUAGUCAACGUUGAAGUGGAAUUUCUACAGUUGAAAAAGCAAGUUUUACGACCGAAAUAAGAGAGCUACUCUGGACCACUGAUCAUUGUUACCUACUAUAUGGUGGUCUUAAUAAUUUCUGGAAAUUCAAGAUAAGUCAAGUUAGCAGUAAAUGAUCAAAUACAGCAUGGAGAAAGAAAAGGGCAAAGAAAAUUAUCUAUUCCUGCAUGUAUCGGUUAUCAGGGACAGCAAUAAAAAUUGAAACACUGAGUCAGAAAAUGCACAGGAAGAGAAGUCUACAUCUUUCAACUCACCAUCUCUCUCUCACAACUGGAGAUAUCUACUUUUCGCACUAUUCACCGGAUAAUAGUCAGAAAAGUAUGCAAUGGUGCAAGUUUUAUAUCUCUCUGUUUUAUCUGCCUUUAUUUGUUUAAAAGCAGAUGUAGCCUUUGUUCAAGGUUUAUAUUGUUAUAAGGUCGACAAGUAUGGAACACAAAAGAUAUUAUCAAUAACAAAAGAGAAACUUCCUCUAACAAAGAGGGAUCAAAUUUAAGACUGUCAUAUAAGUGUGAAGAUGCAUUUAUGUAAUACAAGGAAAUGUCUCUGUAAAAGUCUGGUGAUGUCACUUUUUAACUAUGCAGAUGUUCUGUACUCCCCUUUUUUGUCCUAUGUCUUAAAAGAUAAAAUUCAAAAAAAUGCAAAAUUCCUGUAUACGCUUAUUAUUUGGUCUUCACCAGAGGGAUCAUUUAAGUGAUAAGCUGCCAGAAUUAAAAUGGUUGAACAUGCAGAGAAUCUUAUAAUCCAUCCUUAUAAGCCACCUUACCUUUGCAACAAAGUAGUAAGGUGUAGGAGUUUAUAUUUUGAGAGCAUGUAUAAAAGAAUUUUAGACACAAAUUGUUUUUUCUUCCAUGAAUAAUGCUAAUUAAUUGUAUUGAACAUUGAUAAUUUAAAUAAUAAAGGCAUAAAAAUAAAUAAGUAAUAAGGGCAUCCGACAAUAAGGAGACUCUCUGAGCCCGUUUCUGUUUAAUAUCGUAAUGGAUGAAAUUAUAAAGGAAGUGCGCAAACUAAAAGGAUACAAGAUGGGAAAUAAGGUGAUUAACAUCCUGUGCUACGCAGAGGUUGCGGUGCUGGUCGCGGAAAACGAGGUUGGUCUCCAAAAUUUACUGCUCCAGUUUAAUAAAACACCAAAAUAAUUUAACAUGACUGUAUCAGCGGCAAAAACAAAAUGACUACCUCCAAAACACCCAUCAGAUUGUGAUCGAUGAUAAAAUCAUAUAUCAAAAAAUGAAAUUCAAAUAUUUGGGCAUCAAUGACACAAUAAGGCGAAAUAAACAUAUUAGAACUGAAGCCAAAGCGGAUAUACAAGGCCGCAUUUAGCCCUAUUUUAAUAUAUGUAUGCAGCAGAGACUGGACCAGAAACAUCCAAAACAAAAAGAAAGUGAGUAGAAUACUUGGCAGAACAUUGAUGGACAGAGAAAGAAGUGAGAACAUCAGACAGGCUUGCAGGAUAGGUAACAUCAAUGAUUGGGUAUUGGACAGAAAGUGGAAGUAGUAGAAGCACAUCGACCGAAUGACAGAAGAAAAGAAUUGUGAAAAUCAUCAUCAGGACGGAAAAGCGUUGGAAGACUUAGAAAAAGAUGGAUGAAAAACAAGUUAUGCCUAAAUACAGAAGGAAGAAGAAGUAGAAUAUUGAUAAUAAAAUAAUUCUUUCUGCUUUAAU